GGGGCCGUUCAUCCAUUCCUCAACAAGCAUCUGCUGAAGGCCUGGUGAGAGCCAGGAACCAGCCGUGGAGUGGGGUGGGAGUGCCCAGGAACCAUCAUAAUCAUUUUGAAAACCACCAAGAGGAGAGCUGCCAACCAUCAACACCUGCUCCCCAGCAGAGCUGAGGUUUCUCUGCAGCCGCCUCCCUUUCAGUAAGGACAUCUCCCCUCGCAGGUCACCAGCCCUGCCCACAGCUGGACUCUACUUGCCCCGUCCUCCUAGGAAGUCCCUUAUGAGAAGCAAAGCCAGACAGACUAUAGCUGGGGGCCCUAAGUCAGCAGACGGGCCCUGCCCUCCCUGGUCUGCCCCUGCAGCCA
rnacentral:lncRNA from 1 species